UCCAGCUAUUUCGCCCAACCCAUAUUAGACUGUGUUAUAAAGACAUGGUAAAUUACAUCACGAAGGGAAGAGCAGAGGAAACAUAAUAUUCCUUCAAGACCCAUCAGCUCAGAUGUUAGCAGAACACUCCUAAGGAGGAAAACAAGAAAUUUUGGGUUUGAACUUGGUACUUCCCAGCAGCCCUGGGAGUGGGGUCAGAAGCCCUGCUGGUGGGGGCGAAGAACUCUGAGGAUCAAAGAUGUUGAUCAUCACCAGGAAGCUCACUGCAGCAAUAAUCAUGAUGCACUGAGCCUGACAAGCAAAAGAAAACUUCUUUAGGAGGAUAAAAGGGAGAUGAAGAAACAGAAAACACAUCAGCUCUCCAUCUAAAUUACAGAAAGCAGAAAAUAUCCUGAAUUGAAUAACACAGGAAUCACUCUUUUUCCCCCCUGAGAUAAGAGGUUACUUAUGAGAAACAAGCUUGAAAUCUCUGCACCUGAACCAGCUUCCAGAGGCUUUUGUCCUAACCAGCUGGAUUUGGGGAAGUAAAGGAAACCAGGUAAGAAGGGGCUGAAAGAAUUGGUUUCCACCGUGACCUUUGAACCCUCGGGCGAGUUGUCAACCUCACUGAGGAUGAGUGUCCUCGAUAUCAAACGAGGUCACUUUACUCGCAAGCUUGUUGUGAGGACUGAAUGAAACCUUUUCUUUUUUCUUGGAGUUUCAGAGCAACGUCCCUGAGCCGAGCCCCACACCAGCUUGAGCCCUAUCGUCGGUCAAUACACGGUGCUUUCUCCCCUCCCCUCUGCACUCCAGCUUACUCUGCAGUCAGGAGGUGGCACCAGGAUCCCCUUUAAGACUUUGCCACUUGGGCCAGCUGUGCCUCUGUGAAAUUCCCUGUUUAUAUUGCAG
rnacentral:lncRNA from 1 species